GUAUUGAUUGCGUGUGAUCGCAAAUAAAAUAAAAGACAUUCUACACUGCAUCAAUGUUUGUGUGAAAACGCAAGCCCCCCUCCGAACAAGCCGAAAGGGGGACCCACGCGGUGGUGCACAAAGGGUGAGAUGGAUUGUGUGAGAGCACUUGGGCGUGCACGACCGAAAAGGUCAGCGACAGCCCUCGCACCUCGGUUUUACAAUAAUGAUCCUUCCGCAGGUUCACCUACGGAAA
rnacentral:misc_RNA from 1 species